UACCAGCACCCCGAGUGGUCGGGACGAUUAUUGGGCCUAAAGCAUCCGUAGCCGGUUCUGCAAGUCCCCCGUUAAAUCCAGCUGCUCAACAGAUGGGCCGCGGAGGAUACUACAGAGCUAGGAGGCAGGAGAGGCAAGCGGUACUCAGUGGGUAAGGGGUAAAAUCCGUUGAUCCAUUGAAGACCACCAGUGGCGAAGGCGGCUUGCCAGAAUGCGCUCGACGGUGAGGGAUGAAAGCUGGGGGAGCAAACCGGG
rnacentral:rRNA from 1 species